rnacentral:rRNA from 1 species
GGCUUCCUACGGGAGGCAGCAGUGGGGAAUAUUGCACAAUGGGGGGAACCCUGAUGCAGCGACGCCGCGUGGGUGAAGGAGUACUUCGGUACGUAAAGCCCUAUCAGCAGGAAAGAAAAUGACGGUACCUGACUAAGAAGCCCCGGCUAACUACGUGCCAGCAGCCGCGGUAAUACGGAGGAUGCGAGCGUUAUCCGGAUUUAUUGGGUUUAAAGGGUGCGUAGGCGGUCCGGAAAGUCAGCGGUAAAAGUCCGGGGCUCAACCCCGGCGAGCCGUUGAAACUGUCGGACUAGAGACGGCGAGAA